GGGACCAAGAGGUCGGGGCAGAGGAAGAGGUGGCAGAGAUUUUGGAAACAAGGGACAGCUUUCAUAUGUCAGAGGGAAAAUGCGAGGCAAAACAAUUAAUGGCAUUGGGCCCAUGAGACGUGGGAUAGGAAGAAUGCAUCCAUAUCCUGACCCCCGAGGCCAAAGAGGAGGCAGAGGGGGGCCACCUCUUUUAUCACUCCCACCCCUGAGAGGAAUGAUGAGAGAUCCUUUCUCACUUCCACCACCAAGGCAAUAUGAGAUUGUUUGAUUGGACUUGUCUGUGCAGACAUGGACUUCCUCCACCACCACCAGGACCAAUGGGCUUCAGAGGCAGGCCACUCCACCCCAGAGCCAGAGGGAUGCUGCAGAUGCCAAGAGGUCGAUUCACUCCACCAAGAAGCUUUCCCAAUGGACCCGAUGUACCAUCCCCUCCGCCACCUGGACGGGGCCAGAGAUGGCCUGGACCACCAGGUGGCAGACACUAUUAAAGAGGCUUAUUCUUUAAAUUGUAUAGCAGGGUGCUUUCUUGUUAUCUUAAAACCAUUUGAAAUGGCUGGACUAAGAACUGCCUAUAAAACGUUAAAGAUGGUAAAGAAUAUUAAUUGA
rnacentral:lncRNA from 1 species